AGGAGAGCAGAUAGCUUAGAGAAAAAGACUGGGAUGCUUCCAAAAGGCAAGCAAAGCAAAUAGGGUAAGUUUGAAGUGAGCCUCUUCAAGCUGAGCGCUGUCUACAAUAUAGAGUUUUCCUAUGGGUCUGACAUAAUUUUGUGUGUGGUUUUUUUUUUUUUUUUUUUUUUUGGUUUUGUUUUGGUAAGGACAGUUGUAAUAUGUUAUAGACUCAUGCUGCCCUUAACUUCACCUACUUUCUUCAUUCUCAUCCCUAAGGAUACAGACCCUAGAGUGCCUAAGGUAUUGUCUUGAAAGUAAGGCUUGACAAAAGAAGGAAGAGAAAGACUAAUUAGCAAGUGAAUUAAUUAAGGCCUUUUCUCCAGAUUGAUUCCUUAAAGUCAGCUGUUUCUUUACUGUCCUGCACUGUACCUGAGCUUUCUGUCUUGGGUGCUGUUGGAAGGCUGCUUUGGGGUUGUGGUCCCAGCACUAGGAAGACUGAGGGAUUAAGAGUUUCAGGCCAGCUGGUCACCGCAGCAAGUGGGAAGCCUGGUCAAUUUAGGAAAAAUCCUAGGAUUUUGUUACAGAUUUGCAUGUGUGUAUGUGUGUGUGUGUGUGUGUGUGUGUGUGUAUGUAUGUAUGUAUGUAUGUGUUUAAAGAUUUAUUUAUUUAUCUAUUUAUCUACUUAUUUGUGUGUUUUCAAGAUAGGGUUUUUCUAAGCCUUCCCUAGCUGUCCUGGACUUGCAUUGUAGACUAGGCUGGCAUCGAACUCACAGAUCCACCUACCUCUGCCUCCUGAGUGGAAGGACUAAAAAGACUUGUGCUGCCACACCUGGUUAAUAGGUUUAUUUUGCAUGUGUGAGCGUUUUGUCUGCAGGUGUUUAUGUAUGUGCAUCACAUGAAGGCCAGAUUAGAGUGUCAGAAACUCUGGAAGUCCAGUUACAGGCUGUUGUGAGCCUUCAUUUGGGUGCUAGGGUCUGAGCCUCGGCCCUUUUCAAGUGUAGCCAGUGAUCAUAACUGCUGAGCCUCAAAAUCCUGUUUUGAAAUGUAAUAGAAGGGAGAGUGCUUGUCUAGUACCUUUCAGGCCCUGGGUUUUAUUCCUAAUAGUACAAACAAACUGUGACUAUAAGAAACACAUUUAGCAUGUAUUUCCACCUAUAUGUAUAUGUGUGUGUGUGUGUGUGUGUGUGUGUAUGAACAUUUAUUUGUCAAAGACUUGUAAUCAGACAAAUGUAAAUUGAACAGCAAUAUAUGCUAUUUCAUUCCUGUCAGCCAGGCAGAACUUAAAUGUUCUGGUGAGCAUUAGUAAGAUUGUAGAGAAAUAAUAAACUUCUGUUGCUUUGUUGUUGUGCUAAGGGUAGGACCCAGCCUCCUAUAUGCUAAGCAAGUCCUCUGUCACAGAACUAUAGCUCUAGCCCUGUGGGAGAUGGGAAAUACUUUUAAAAACAGGGCCCCACUGUGUAGUCUUGGCUGUCCUGGAACUUGCUAUGUAGACCAAGUUGGCCUUGAACUCACAGAGAUGCACCUUCCCUAAUUCCUGACUUGACUGCUAGGAUUAAUAAACUGUACUUUUAUAUACUGUUAAUGGGAACGGAACUGUGUGCAACCACCUUGGAGAGUAGUAGUAGUGUAACAAAUAGCUAGUUAAAAGCUGGUUGACGUACCUAUCUAUCUAAAAUGGGUAAAGACAAUAAUAAAUACAAGAGAAGUACAAGAAUCUUAUUCCAGGGGCUGGAGAAAAGGGUCAGUGAGUAAGAACACUGUUCUUCCAGAGGCCCUGGGUUCAAAUCCCAGCACCCACAUGGCAGCUCACAACUGUGUGUAACUUCAGGAUCUGACACCCUCACACAGACAUAUAUACAGACAAAACAUCAAUGCAUAUAAAAUAAAAUAUAUAUAUAUAUAUAUAUAUAUAUAAUUCCAGCUCAUAUAUGGCACCAGUAGGGCCAUAUAAACUUUUAGAAAGACCCUUGCACAGUCUGAAGAGAUAUCUUACUAGGUGAAGUGCUUUCUAUGAAAGCAUGAAGACCCAAAGCCAGCUGUGGCAGUGUUUGCCUUCAACCCUCGUCUUGCGAGGUAGUGUGGAGGCAGCUGCACCCUGUAGAUUUAAUAGCUACAGUCAGUGAGAGACUCAGCCUCAAGAAAAUAAGGUGAAUAGCGGUAGAGAAAGAUGCCUAAACUGCCUCUCGCAUCCACAUGAGCAGGUGUGUGCAGGAGUACCUGUGAACACUGCAAUCAUUGAACAGUGAACGCACACGCCCAGGGCCCCCACACAGCUGAAUAUUACAGCUCUUCGAGGACAUAAAUAAAAGCAUCAAUGGUGUCACAUACCUGUAAUUCUAAUAGUUUGGAGGUGGAACAAGUUCAAGGCCAGCAUGGGCAACUAAAAAACUUAUCUCAACCUGCCACCUCAGUAAAUUAUAGCUAAUGUAUCACAAAUGGAUGUAUAUUAAAAACCUGAUAUGUUUUGGGGGAGCAACUCCCAGAAGAAUUUUUACAGAAAUUUUCCACUUGUGUAUUUUGAAAACUCAAAACUAUUUGUGGUUAUAUACAUACAUAGUAAUGUAAACACAUGUGUCGGGACUGCAAAAAUUCACAAGUAGUACUUAUCUCUGGGUAGAGAAGGUGGAGCAUGGGAUAAGACUGGUAUGCAAAGGGCUCUGAUUGUACUUAAUAUUACUUAAAUUCAGAUCAGGAAAUUGCAAAUUAAGAUUUGUUAGUGUUGGAUGUGAGUUAUAGAGAUUAAAUAUAUUAUUCAUAUAUUAUUCUAAAUAUUUUUCAGAUGUCUGAAAUAUUUCUCAGAUGUCUGAAAUAUUUCUCAGAUGUCUCUCAUUUUCUUGUUUAUAGAACAUAAAGUUUUGUCCUAUAGUGCUGGAUCUGUAACUACAGCAUCUACUCCAGCGUAGUCUGUUAGGCCCCGGGCCCUGGCCUCCAGGCCCCGGGCUUCUUUUUUUACUUUUUCUGACCUGUAACCUAGUUUUGCUGUGAGUAAAGAGAAAAAAGUUUGUUAUUAUUUUUAAUUAAAAAAAUAUAAGUAUGGGUGUUUUGUCUGCAUGAAUGACUGUAUAGCAUAGCAUAUCUGGUGUCUAGGGCUAGAAGAGGGCAUUGCAUCCCCUGGAACUGUAGUUUCAUUGUAAGGAGCUACGUGAGUUCUGGAAAGCAUGGAUAAGUUCUCAACUGCUGAACCUUUUUUCUAGCCAUGGGUAAUUUCUAUUUUGGAAUUUAUUUUAUUCUGGAGAACAUAGAGGAUUCUCUAAAUUUUCUAGAGGACCUAGAUCAGCAGUUGGAGCUUUGUCAAAGAUGACACUGCUCCGGCACGUUCUGACUUACCAGGUAGACAAUAGGCCCAGCCACCCGAGUCACGGGCUCACUUGCUAGAGUUUGAGGCCCUGUUUCAGAUUUGCCAGAGCCCAGCCUCUAGGCCCUUCCCCAGGCUGUGCUUUGUUCCUGCUCCAUGACUGGGUAUGAUUUGAACCAUGUGAUAUUUAUCACUUUGAGACCGGGUCCUUUCAGUUCAGGCCAGCCUUCUUCUCCAUGUCCAUGCCGCCAGCUUCUGAGUACAGGCAUAGGCCAUCAAAAUACUUCCUUCCUUUGUGGAGCAUAAAGGAAUGACAUAGGAGCUGCUUGGGAAAUGGCUUAUGGGUAAAGUGCUUGCCGAGCAAGCCUGGAGACCACAGUUCAGAUCCUUUGCACCAGGUAAAUGACAGGCAGCUGCCUAUAAUCCCAGUGCUUGGGAGUUAGAGAGAGAGAGGAUGCCCCAAAUAAGCUGGCUAGCUAGACUAGCCAAAUUGUCAAGCUUUAGGUUCAAGUGAGAGACCCAAAGUGGAGAGUGAUGUAAGAAGACACACAGUGCCAACCUCUGUCUGCCAUAUGAAUGUAUUCACACUUGGACAUACCUGCAUUCCCGCCAUUGGAACAUGUAUAUGUGGGCAUGCAUACCACACACACACACAAUACUCAUUAUAGUGGUGGCUCACACCUUUAUUCCCAGCACUUGGGAGGCAGAGGCAGGUGGCUCUAUGUGAGUUUGAAGCCAGCCUGGUCUACAGAAUGAGUUCCAGGUCAGCCAGGGCAGAGGAAAAAAAAAAAAAGGAAAUAAAUAAAGAAAAGAAAACUGCUAAAGGUAGGAUUGAAUGUCAUUAACCAUAGCCUGUUCUUUAACUCACUUUCUUCUAGAGGUAGUCUCACGUGUUUCGGGCUAGCACUGAACUGGUUUUGCAGCUGAGGAUGACCUUGAACUUCUAGUCUUUUUGCUUACACCUUAAUGGUGGGAGUGCUGGGAUUCUAGGCCUGCACCAAAUCCAUUUUAUGCUGUGUUGGUGCUUGGUGCAUGUAGGCGGAUACUUAACC
rnacentral:lncRNA from 1 species